rnacentral:rRNA from 1 species
GAUGAACGCUGGCGGCAUGCCUAAAACAUGCAAGUUGUGCGAGAAACCCCUCACCUUUUUUAUGAUAUCUUAAGCUAAGCUUAAGUUUUAUAAUUGUCAAAAAGGUGAGGGGCGGAAAGCAGCGGACGGGUGAGUAACGCGUAGAAACAUACCCUAGAGUGAGGGAUAAGCAUUGGAAACAGUGUCUAAUACCGCAUACUGUCUAUGGACAAAAGAUUUAUCGCUUUAGGAAUGGUCUGCGUCUGAUUAGUUAGUUGGUAAGGUAAUGGCUUACCAAGACGAUGAUCAGUAGCUGGUUCGAGAGGACGAUCAGCCACACUGGGACUGAGACACGGCCCAGACUCCUACGGGAGGCAGCAGUUAGGAAUCUUCCACAAUGGGCGCAAGCCUGAUGGAGCAAUGCCGCGUGCAGGAUGAAGCUUUUCGGAGUGUAAACUGCUUUUAUAACCGAAGAUUAUGACGGUAGGUUAUGAAUAAGGACCGGCUAACUACGUG